rnacentral:lncRNA from 1 species
UGAGCUGCCUUAGAGCCCGAGGAGUCGGGGAAGCGGCCACCCUUACAACCACCAGAGGGCGCAGGUGCGCAGAAGCCUGCCUGGCCCUGGGAUCUGCCAGGGGAGCCUCCUGCCUGCUUCUUGCGGGACGGCCCCUCCCUGCAGCCGUGGAUGUGAGGGGUCCUCUACCGGGCACAAGGACGCCAGCUUCUCACCCAGCAGAUCCAGCCACACCCGCCCUCCUCUGUUCCUCCAACCUGAGCCUUUCCCACCUCAGGGCCUUGGCCCUUGUGGUUCCAUCUGCCAGACACGCCAUCCCCUGGCUACACCCAAGGCCGACUCUGUCUCCUCCUCCUGGACUCAGCUCAGAUGCCACCUUCUCGCGAGACGCCUUCCCCAUCCCUGGUCUAAAGUGGGCCCCCUGCUAGUCCCAGUCUCGCCCGCUUUUCCCCCUUAGGUCAAUUUGUAAUUAUUUCAUGUAUUGUUUAUUUCAUCUUGUUCUGAUUCUCUCAACAGAUGAUAAGCUGCUGGAGAAGCAGGGGUCUCUUAUUGCCUGGAGCCAAGUGCAGUGCCUGACACAUAGUAGGCCCACAGUAAAUAAUGAUUGCACGGAUAAAUAUAUUUUUAUGCAAGUCAAACCGCUUGAAAGCAAUUACCCAGGAGAGCACACCUUAGGAGGACUAUUUGAAUCCUGCUACUGUGAGCAACAUUACUUAACCAGGCCCUUCAACGACAAGAUCAUAAAGGCGCAUGUGCACACGAACCUCGUUGUGGAGUUCUGGCUGGAGAAAGACGAGUUUGGCCGGAGGGAUCUGGUGAUAGGCGAUUGCGGCGUGGAGCCCGGCAGCGUCCACACAACAGUCCUGACUCCGUAAGGUCCCAGCUGCCCCUCCCCAGGGUGACCAUUCCUAGCUGCGGCCACACAGCUCCACCACCUCCCGGAUGAGCCCCAAACGGAUCUCACCCUUUCCCCAGGAUCUGCUCUCCUCCCACGUCCCCACCUCAGUGUCGGCCCUGCCACCUCCCAGAAGCCGGACUCUCCCUCCUCACUCCCCACAGCCCCUCUUCACCCGCUCCC